rnacentral:rRNA from 1 species
AUUGAACGCUGGCGGCAGGCCUAACACAUGCAAGUCGAACGGUAACAGGAAGCAGCUUGCUGCUUUGCUGACGAGUGGCGGACGGGUGAGUAAUGUCUGGGAAACUGCCUGAUGAAGGGGGAUAACUACUGGAAACGGUAGCUAAUACCGCAUAACGUCGCAAGACCAAAGAGGGGGACCUUCGGGCCUCUUGCCAUCGGAUGUGCCCAGAUGGGAUUAGCUAGUAGGUGGGGUAACGGCUCACCUAGGCGACGAUCCCUAGCUGGUCUGAGAGGAUGACCAGCCACACUGGAACUGAGACACGGUCCAGACUCCUACGGGAGGCAGCAGUGGGGAAUAUUGCACAAUGGGCGCAAGCCUGAUGCAGCCAUGCCGCGUGUAUGAAGAAGGCCUUCGGGUUGUAAAGUACUUUCAGCGGGGAGGAAGGGAGUAAAGUUAAUACCUUUGCUCAUUGACGUUACCCGCAGAAGAAGCACCGGCUAACUCCGUG